GAAGAUUUGUAUGGAAUGUGUUUUGGCUUCAUGCGACUAAUUUACAAUUUAUGAACAACUACUAGAAGUUUAGUGCGUUAACUAUUAGAAUUAUAGUGCGAGAAGUUUGCUCAAUUCGCCUUAUAGUAUCGGCUAAACUGAAUUUAUCAUUCAUGCAUAAUAGUCACUGUACUAGAAUUGAUAGCAGCUAGAUUUCGUUUGGAUCACACACUCAAAUCCUAAGUCGCAACCAAUAAGAUCUAUUUAGAACUAAACAAACUCAAUCUAAGAGCCUUAAAUUGUUCCUCCAGUAAGGUGAACGUUAACAGCAGUUCAAACAGAAAUAGAAUAUUAAACG